AAGGAAUGGUCCUUUUCAAUGAGGGCACAGCUGUUGGCUUGCUCCAAUUAGGGCUUUCUGUCAUUGUUUUGGGUGCUUCAGCCGACUUUUGGUUUCUUGAGUGGCAAUUUCCUAAAUGGUUUCUGGGUCUGAGCUGGUUUUGCCUUCUUCCCUCCCAAAUUUUGUAUUCUGACGCAAUACACACAAGAGUUUAGACAGAGGAUCCAUUAUGAAAUAAAAAACACAACCAAUUGGCGUGUCAUGCUUAGAAAUCUCCAGGCAGCACGACCAAGAUGAGCUUUUGUGUUUUGGAAAAAGAAAUGGAACCCUUUUGCAGAGGGGACCGAUAAUUAAUUCCCCUCCAAUCAAGUUUGACGGAGAUUUUCAGGUGAAUUCAAUUAGUUUCCAAAGCCAGUCAGCUGGGAGGGGUGGAUGAAUCCGGAAACAGCCGGUUUCCUUGUGACUAAAUCAAGGCCAAUAUCACAAAGGACUCUUGCAUUUCUUGGGCUUUUUUCACAUUUUUCUUAUUUAUCAUGGUUUGUAAUGAAUUUUCUGAUGUGAGCUUUGACUUUGAGGCUGGAAUAUGGAGUUCAAGACACGGAAGGAAUGGUCCUUUUCAAUCAGGGCACAGCUGUUGGCUUGCUCCAAUUCUGGCUUUCUGUCAUUGUUUUGGGUGCUUCAGCCGACUUUUGGUUUCUUGAGUGGCAAUUUCCUAAAUGGUUUCUGGGUCUGAGUUGGUUUUGCCUUCUUCCCUCCCAAAUUUUGUAUUCUGACGCAAUACACACAAGAGUUUAGACAGAGGAUCCAUUAUGAAAUAAAAAAUACAACCAAUUGGCGUGUCAUGCUUAGAAAUCUCCAGGCAGCACGACCAAGAUGAGCUUUUGUGUUUUGGAAAAAUAAAUGGAACCCUUUUGCAGAGGGGACCGAUAAUUAAUUCCCCUCGAAUCAAGUAUGACGGAGAUUUUCAGGUGAAUUCAAUUAGUUCCAAAGCAGGUCAGCCUGGAGGGGUGGAUGAAUCCGGAAACAGCCGGUUUCCUUGUGACGAAAUCAAGGCCAAUAUCACAAAGGACUCUUGCAUUUCUUGGGCUUUUUACACAUUUUUCUUAUUUAUCAUGGUUUGUAUUGAAUUUUCUGAUGUGAGCUUUGAUUUUGAGGCUGGAAUUUGGAGUUCAAGACACGGAAGGAAUGGUCCUUUUCAAUGAGGGCACUGCUGCUGGCUUGCUCCCAUUUUGGCUUUCUGGCAUUGUUUUGGGUGCUUCAGCCGACUUUUGGUUUCUUGAGUGGCAAUUUCCUAAAUGGUUUCUGGGUCUGAGCUGGUUUUGCCUUCUUCCCUCCCAAAUUUUGUAUUCUGACGCAAUACACACAAGAGUUUAGACAGAGGAUCCAUUAUGAAAGAAAAAAUACAACCAAUUGGCGUGUCAUGCUUAGAAAUCUCCAGGCAGCACGACCAAGAUGAGCUUUUGUGUUUUGGAAAAAUAAAUGGAACCCUUUUGCAGAGGGGACCGAUAA